CAGCCCAUUCCCAGCGGCAGGGGCUCCAGUUCUGCAGUGGCACUCAACUGCUCUCAAUCCUCCUUGGCCUUUCAAAGGGGAAGCUGCUUGCUGGAGGGAGCAGGGUAAGUGCAAGAGGAAAAACCAAAUGAUUUUCUCCCUGCUCGUGCCGGCGGGGGGGCGGUUACUGUGUGAGCAAGGCUCGCAGCGCCGGCUCAUUCAGCACGGCGGUGUCUGUGUGCCCAGGCCCCGGGCACAGCGGGCUCUGUGCUCCUGAGGUCAGCUUGAAAAGCUGCUCAAAGCCCAUGGAUGGUCCCUGAGCUUUGCAUCCGGCCUCAGAUACUCUGCUAAAUACUUGCAAAAUGGCUCGUGGGGCCACACUGGGCAGCGUGGCAGCUGAGAGCUGCUGGGGGAGCAGCUGGGUGAUGUCGGGGGAGGAUGACACCCCAAUUCCAUAGAGUAGAUCAAACUGGCACUGAGGGGUGAUCAGUGGCACCACAUUCGAGCGGGGCUGGAUGCUCCUCUGAGCAGUGUGUGCUGCUUGUGGUGCUUGUACCAGGUUGCCUGUAAACCUGCAGCACCUGAAGAGCAGCAUCACAUCCCAGACUCAUUUUCCUUCAAAGGUGGAAGAGAGCACAUUUUCUCCUCCAAACCAGAAGUAAAGCUGGACUCCCUUUCCUCCCCAAAGCACCCAGUUUUGGUCCCUAAACUGCUCUGCAUUACCAAGCAUCUCAGCUCCCUCCCAUCAUCCACCACCCUGGAUCCCUGUUGCAGUCAAGCUGGCCAAUGGAUUCAGCUGCUUGUGCUCCAGAACAGCACAAUAAAACAUCCAGAAAAUAAUUUUUUCAUUUCCACAUUCUUCCCCACAGUUGCCUGCAAGCCCUGUGCUGUGCUUGGCCGCAAGAGGUUCCCUGGGGCUCACAGGGUUGGGCUGCAUAGGGCAAAAAGAGGGGUCUUUAACUCCCCCCAGUGCCAAAAGGCACCUUUGUGGCCCUGCUGCUCCUGUCCCCAGGUUAUGCACUGGUAUGAUUCGACAGCAGAUGACAGAGGUUAGGAUAAGGCCUGGGAUGGCUGGGAUACUGUUGCCAUGGAAAUCACCCGGUGUCUGGAAUAGCAAGAACAAGAGCAACUCAAAAAGUAAUGAUCUGUCACAUUGAUUAAGGAGGAGUCGGAGGGAUUUUGUUUGGGGAAAGCCUUGUGCUUCAACUAAUAUGAAUCCAUAUGCCACAUCUCUCUGUUUGCCUUCCCCUGAAGGGCUCUGUCAACAGGAAAUCAUCUGAUUUGUGUUGACCGGGGGUUUCUCCAGGGAGUACCGAUGCCGUUCCCGCCCGUCAGCUGCGCUGCACAGCUCUGCCAUCCCAGGAUGAAAGGCACCAAGUCAAUGCAAUAUUCAUUCACUUCCUCUUCCCUCCUUCAUUCAUUUCUUCAUCCAUUCAUCUGCUUCAUUCACAUUUCCCCGGCACUUUAAUGAGCAGUGCUUAGCCCCUGCAGCCUGCGGAGCCUUCCCCGGUACGCUCUGUGCUGCAGAUGGCUGCGGGCUCGUUUAUGUGGCAGGGCAAAGCUCGGCGUGGCUGCAGUGGGGCUGUGCUGUGCCCAGCUGGCACCUGGAUCUUUUAACCCCCCUGCAAUUCCCCCACCAGGUUUUUCCUAUUCCAUCUUUCACAUCUUGGUGAUUUAUCUCUGCUGUGAUUCCCAUCUCAUUCAGGUCCUGUCCUCUCUGUGGGAGCCUGUCCCGGUGCCUCUGCCCGUGGCAGCCCCCCUGGGGGCAGGGGGUGGCUUGGCAGGAGGUGGCAGGAGGUGGCAGGUGGCAUCGCUGGGCAAGCAGGAGGGAGCCAAGUGUGAAAUGGGCAUCACUGGAGUGCUGGUGCCAGGCACUUGGUGCUGAGCCAGAGCCACAAGCAUAAACAUCCUCAGGGCUGUGUCACCGUCCACCUGCCCCACCACACCAAUGCCUUUGUGGCACUUGAGGAGCUUGGGGGGAUUUCUUUUUUUUCUCUGCCUGGUGUCCUGCUCUCAGAGACCAAUUCAUCGGAGGCAGGUGGGUGAUAGUCCCUGUGUGAGCUCCAGGCUUGGCCCAGGGGAGCAGAGCCGUGGGCCAGCAGUUACAGGGCAAGCAGCCAGACCCCCAGUGUGAGCAGCUUGGGCAACGAGGGCUCACAGCCAUGGGCAGGAGCAGGAGGCACAUGCACCAGGCACAGGCAAGUCCCUGGUUUUAGGGAUUUUCCUCAGAUAAGCAUGGCUCAACCCUCCUGUUGCCCAAUUUUGGGCACUCGCAGGGCGUAGAUGGGGGGAACAAGCACGUCUGUACUUCAAUGCCCUUUUUUAACCAACCCAGAACAGGUUUGCAGUUUUUUUUCCCCACUGAUAUGCAAACAUUUCUCUUGAAGAAAAUAAAAUGCUGGGUAGAAACCCAAGAAAGAUUAAAAGGAGAAAACUAAUUUUCCUGCCUGUGAUCUCACGGGUGGAAAACAAUCCCUUCCUCCCCCAGCCCGAAACCCUCCUUGCUGUGCUUGCGUGUGAGCUGUGCUCCGUCGCUCUCCAAACAGCCAAGUGCAUCCCCGAGCUGAAGGAAGCAAACAGAAAACAUCCGUUGUUUGUAUAAAGGAGAAAGCUUUCUCUUUUGUUCCCUGCUUUUUAUCAAGUAUCUGCUGCCAUUAUUGUUACUCACUGGGUUAUUACCUCCGAGUGGCUACUUCCACCAGCACAAGCUGGUUUAUUGUCUGCUCAGAGCAAUUAUGGAUUUGGAUAAUUCCUGCCAUGCUGUUUCAUUGUGGAAGGAUCUGCUGUGUUCUGUGGCCAAGGUAACUUGAGGUGAUUUGUGCUGCUGAGUUACCCAUCAAGUUAAUUAGGAGUGGGUGGCUGGUGCCCCACUGUAUGCUGGGACAGAAGGAGCAGCAGAGGCUGAACCCAGGCAUAUUCUCAGUGUGAGAGGUAUUCAAAGGCAAGUUUGUUCACUGGAGCAGAGACCAGGUUGGGUAUUUUUCUAGGCCUAGUUCAUCUUUAUUCACUGGUCAACAGAAUGUUGGCCAGCACAUCCUCCCUCUGAGGGUGCAGAACCCCAUUGCUCUGUGUGUGCAGAGGACAAGAGUGUCCCUGCAGGACUUGCAGUCCUGGUGGAAGACACUUGCUGUCUUGUUCAUUGCUUAUCUAGGAGGUCAUUUUGUUCUUCAUCCUGUGCUGCAAAGACAAGAUGAGGAAAGUGUUCCUUGGGCUGCACGGGAUUUCCCCUUAGGAACUGCCUCACCUGCCUGGUUGGAGAGGAAAAAUAAAAUGAAAAUGCUUCUCUGAAGUAUGAAAUCCAGACCUGCUGGGCCUCGUGCAUCUGUGGAGAUCAGAGCCCCAGUGCUGUCGUGCUGCCUCUUUGAACCAGGGGGAGUUUCACCCCAGGCAGGAACAUACACCUGGCUUCAUGGCAGAGGGCUCAGCCUGCAGGUUGCAAAAGUACCUGGUUAUUUUUACUCCUUUGAUACCUGAUCCACUAUCAAAAUAACUUAUUUCUUUCUCUUUUACUUCCUAGGAAUCCGAAAAAACUUGCCAGGGGCAAUAACGUUUAUUGGUGAGGCACCGCCAAACCCCCCGUGUUGUCCAUGCACAGAAGGGGUUGGGGUCAUCCCCUGCACAGCCCCCCAGCCUUGGCAUAGGGUUUCUCCUGAAGAUGUGAGGGUUUUGUCCUUCAAGAGCAGCUGCAUGGGUAUUGCACUCCAGAUACUCAGGGCAGUAACAAUGUGUUUAUACAUUCACUUGCUAAUAAAUAAAUACAAAAGUGUGACACUUUUAAGCACUUGCUAAGGCUGUAACAAACAUGUUUUUUCCCACAGUUAGUAACCUGUGGAUUAGGAAGCCAUGAUUUUUAUUUAUUUUUAAUAGCACACCAUGAGGACAGAUUAGCAUGAGACUAUAAUGCCAUCACAUGGUCUCAAAACCCUCUGUGCCAAGACCACAUCCAAAUUCAGCACAAGCAGCAGUGAGCCUUUCUAAGGAGGCUUGAUGGUAAGAAGUGUUUUCUUUUGCUGUCUUAGAGACUGUAAGUAGCAGAAUUGAAUUUCUGGAGUUGUAUGUGUGCACAGAACAUCAAAAAUGGCAUUGUUCAGUUAUUCACCCCAUUAUUAAGCUUGGCCCUCCAUAUCCACCUGACACAGAGAAGCCCUGCUGGACCCACUUACCAGGGCUCCUCUUGGGUUUGAUACUCAGCUCAUACCCCAGGACAGGUCAACAUUUUCUCCAUUUCCUAAUAUUUUCUUGAGCAAAGUAUGGCCUCAUGCUUGCUUUGCUAUUCAGUCCUGGCCCAUCUGGACUCUCAGAUAUCCCUUCUGCAAGAAACUGAUGCUUCAAACUGAACUGAAUGUACACAAAGACUUCACCCCUUUCCUACCACAGGUUGGACCCCUGGAAAUAUCCUUUGGUGAUGCAGGUGCCAGGAGACAGUAGGAAGCCACCUCUCCCCUGCUCCUCUUUGUUCUGUCUCUGGUUCAGCCAAGGCUCUAAGGGUCUGGAAAUCUAUCCUGAAGUUUCAAAACAGUCUUCCUUGUGUUCUCCCUUGUCGGUCUGAGUUCCCAGAGCAAAGGGUGAACAGUGGUCAUUUGUAGAGUGAUCGGCCUUCAGCAUCACAGUGACAGUAUCUGGAGCCCUGGAGGACAGCCCUGCCUGCCUGUGGGAAGGCAGAGAGCAGGCAGGACCAGGCAACAGCUUUGAUGCCAUUCCUGCUGCCUCCUUUUUCCAUCAGCCACGUGGGACAAGCUCCCCUUUUCUGCUCAAAAAAGUGCCUGGAUCAAGGUUUCGCAGCUACUCUUACCUUUCCAGGGUGCACUAAGGUGUGACUGGUUUUCUCCAAAGGUAACUCAAUGCCUGAGUGGAUCAUUAGGUUCCAGGAUCACUUGGGAGACACAUGGAAGCCAACAUCCACCUGCCAGCUGUAGAUGGGCUCCAUCCACUUCGAGGCAGCAUCCAGACAGGCACCCAGCAGUGGCAUCUUGUCAAGGGACUGGAGAUCUCCAUCAAAUGAUGGCCACGGACUCCAAACUGUGAAUCCCUAUUCCCGGACUCUGAGCUCCUGAGGUUGAUUUUACCACUUCAAUAUAAGUGAAAAUUAUGUGGAUUGGUGGCAGAAGCAAGUUAUAUGACGAGUGGAGAGGAAUACAUCUCCAGAGCCAGGUUUCUGCUUCAGACAAGGCUGCAGCAGGCGACGGCGCCCGGCUCUCCCGGCAGAGACGGCUACAAUGAAUAACCCAAGAGGCUCUGGUAAAAAUUACUUGAGUUAAUUAAAUGAGCAUCUGUGGCAUGGCUAUUUUCUCUGCAUGCCCUGGCUCUUAAGUCCUCAUCUCUGAGGGGAGAAAGUGUCAUUGAACCAAUUUAUUGGCAGUGCCGGUUCUCCAAAGCAGAGGUGGUCACCCUUGGUGUCCCAUUGUCUCUGAGAUACCCACUGUAGGUACCUGAGCCUCAGCUGGGACUGAGCACUGUUAGACCUUGUGACAACGUUUUCUAGAUGCAGAGAACUGGGAUGAGGAAAUAUUCCGGGGAGUUUCUAUGCUGAUGCUCACAGAGGGAUGGCAUUGCCUUCCCUCCAGCUGCUGCAAGCCCAGCAUGGGACAUGGUGCUGGGUGGCAUCUGCAUGGGGAGGGCAGGCUGGGUCCAUGGUGUGCUUCAAGACUCCUCAAAAAUUAUGCAAACCCAGAUCUUCCCUUUCCUCUUGUUAUAUGCAGCAGGUCAGGUCCUGCUCUGGAAGUCACUGAGUUGUGGAUCAGCCACGUAGCUGAUGGAAGUGCUGCUGCUGGCCUGUGGAAGGGCUUUUGGGGUGGGUUUUACUUUUCAGCCAACCCAUAAAGGAAAGAAUAAGCUUUUAUUUUCUUAGCCAUCACUUUCUGCAGCCUGUGUCAAGCCAACAAUGGCCGGGUGUUCCUCUGAGGCUGUAAAAUAAGCUCAUUCAUCCUUUCUCUCUAUCUGUUGUAGGGCAAACAAAAAAAAAAAAGAGAAAUCCAGUGAGCUCCUGUUUGCUUUCCGAAUGGAGCCUGUGGUGUGGCACCAGCAGCCAAGCACUGCUCUGGGUCAAACAUGAAGGCAAUGUGCUGUUUGUGUUCCCUCAGCCACAUGGAUGCAGACUGAGGGAGAAGGCAGGAAUUGUCAGUGGCAGCCUCUUGUGGGCUCCUCCUCACCACGGGGAGCCUCCCUCCGGCUGCCUUUGCCGGAGCUCUGUAAUUUCCAGCAGGAUCAUGUUCACCAUGGGCCUUGCAGGGAACAAGGCUCGAGUUUCAGUCCGUGGCCACCUUCUUGAGUCAGGGCUGAAUAAGUGCCUCAUGCUGAGCACAAAGGGCCCUGGUGCUGCUGGAGAUGCUGUUUUGGUGGUGGUGGUGGAAGCUCAACCUGCAUCAGCGUGGGGAUGGACAGGGGAUGCUGUCACUUGGCACAUAGUGGUGGUCUGUUGUGCAGCACUGAAAUGCCGCAGGAGAGAUGACAAAGUGACAUCUCUGUCUUUGGAAAGAGAAGCAGUAAAAGGGUUACCUGGCUCCCUGAGAAGGGGCUUGGUGCAGGAGUUUGGAUGCUAUCCCAAAACUUCCUGCUGGUCACAGGAGACUAGAGGUGGCAAAAUCUCCAGCAUGGCUGUGGCACAAGGAAUCCCACCUGGGGAGGGAGGAGGAAGACUCACAGGACUGGUUGAGGAGGGAAAGGAGUGGAACAGACAUCCCUCCCAUCCUUCCAGCAGGUUUAUGGCCUAUUCUUUGGUGUGUUUUACUGGUCCAAAAGCAGAGCAGCCUUCUGUCCUGCUGAAUUCCUCCCAAACUCUCCCAUCACGGCAUGACCAGUAUGAAUGCCAGCAGCUGGAAGACUGAAAUAGCAGCUACCAUUGCUUAGGCUCCACUGAUUUGUCCUGUGGUUUUUCCGUGUCCUUUAAUCUCCAGUAAAUAAUCCCUCACUUCCUUGUGGUCUUUCUAAUUCCAUGCUCUGUGCCGGUGCUUCCUGUAAACAGCAGAGCUGGUGGCCCUUGCGUGGCCACCGCCGUGUAAUUGAGGCUCUCCCCUGCUGUGCAAAGGGCAUGUGACAGGGCUGUUUGUCAGGCUGGAUGUGGCUGUGUGUGGCUAAAUAAUGGAAACACCAGAUUGUCCUUUCCAUUGAGCCUGGAGAAGUCAGGGCUGGCUCUGACGAGGCCAUUGGAUUGAUACAGGUGUAAAACCAGCACAUGUGAGAGCAUCAGGUGCCGGCACCCAAGGAAUUGCACCAUCUGGCCUCCAGUAAUCAUGAUUAGACCAGUGCUCAAAAGCAAAAUUGGGCUGAAUUAGAGGCAAUGAGGUCCCUCCAGCACGUGUGCAAUGGUGCUUGGUCUUUGGGGCAGGAGCCAUGUCCUGUGCAGAAGCUGUGACAGACCUUGCUCAGCCCUUCAUUGCCACAUCUCUCAUCUAAAAUUCUGAGUGGAGUUCUAAAAUAAAAGAAAACUAUGAAUGGCCUGUGCUGAAUGAAGGCCCUUCUUCAUCUGGGCUUCCCCACAGGCUUGAUCUUUUGCACUCUUGUAGGUGAGAGGCCUCCAAGGGUGGUUUGGAAGGUGUUUUUCUGAUCAAAAUAUCUUCAGCUGUUUUAUGGUGGCAGGAACUGCAUGAUUUGUGUAUGAGAUACCCAUCUUCAAGCCUAAGAGCCUUUAUUUUCCCCAGGUGAGUCUGUGUUGAACCAAUGGUGGAUCACGGAGGGUUGUGACGAGCUGGGCUGCACUUUUUGGGUGGCACAGCUUUUCCUCCUGUCUGAAAUCUCUUCUCUCUGGGUUUGUGUUUACUGGUGGAUCCCUCCACAGAUACCUGAGCAAACAACAAACCAUUUUUGUAGGAAUAUCUUUGCUCCCAAUGUACCUCAGACUCUCACCUGUGCUUGUCCUGGCCAUCCUUGUGUAUGGGGUGUCUGUGCAUGCCUGGCUGAAGAUGACAGUGUGAGUUUGCUUGUGGGGGUGGUUGUGGACUCUGGUGCAUGCAAUCCUGCCAGCCCUGCCAAUAUUUGCAGCUUGAAACAUUAACAUUUAGGUAUUUACAGGGCCAAGGGAGGGGUCCUAUAACCAGACCCUUCGCACAUGCUCUUUUCCAGAAUAGCUGCUUCCAGAAAUUUCCAGGUUUUGAUCCUUUGGCCAUUUCAUGUAAGUCCCAAUUUAUUUAUUUUCAUUUCAUAAGCUCCCCACAGCCAAGCAGAGACAGCUAAAGGAAUCCUGCUCAGUCUUCCAGCAUUAACAUCCCAGUUAUCAGAGCUUCUUCCACAGGUGUGUGUGUUGGAACUCCUGGAAGUAUUUUCAGAGCUGAAGUGUAAGCAGGGAAUCAGUUUGGAGUGGCAUGGGAGGUGCUCAAAAAAAUGCCAUGAGGGAAAUGAGAGCCUCAGUUUGUCUCAUUUGAUGCCACUUAACGUGUGACACCUUGUUUAAAAUGGGGCUGUCAACAGCAAAUAUAUAGUAGAGCUGAGGUUUUCCAUCAAUGCUAACGACCCAGGUGCUUGUAUCCUAGGGAACUCCAUGUAUCCUGCAGCUGGCUGGAGUGAUAAGACAUGACCAGUGCCCAUCCUGUUCUGUGUGCUCUGGUGUUGGCUCAAGAAACUCAGGAGGGCUGAUGCAAGGAAGCAGGUGGGAAGUUUGGGUUUCUGGCUGUUCACACAGCUCCAGAAUGACUGAAUGCUGGCAGGAGAAAUCCCAGAGCAUCUCAUGGAGAUCAGAUGGGGAAGAUAAUCUCCUCACCCCUUGGAAGACUGGGAAUUGCUGGCUUUUUUCAUUGCCACCUUUCCCUUGUGAAGUAGAAGCCACAUUAUCACCAGGCUGAGCAGUUUUGGCUAAUGCAGAAUUAGACUAAGGCAAAACUCCUACAAGCUGUUUGAUGGUUCCCUGAGUCCUCUUGAAAGCAUCACAAGUGUGGAUGAAAUUCUCCAUUCUCUGUGUAUUUUUGCCUGUGCUCAUGGAUCUGCCUGGCCUCAGGCUGACCAUGUGCCUCCACCACUCCAUUUUUUCUGACAAUGGGAAUGUGAGAAGCCUUGAGAGGGACAGAAAGGCUUUGCCCAGGGAGCAGUAGGAGCCCUCCAGACCUGAAGCAAAUAAUCGUUGCCUGGAACUGGUCCCUUUGGCUCCAGGCACUGCUGAAUUUGCUGGUGGAGAAAACCACUGCCUUGGAUCAAAGCACUGUUAAAGGAGACUUCACAAAAGUGAAUGGCUAGUGGUCAAGAAGAGCUGCCAGACUCCUGCUUUCUCAGUAACUAAUAAAAGUGCUUUUUAACACAAUUAAUGUGAUGUCUUGCUAAAGACUGAAGGAAAUUGGAAUUGAGACAUUUGUAUUUUGACAGACUCUGUGGAAAACUUCUGUUCAGACUGGUAGGAAUGAAACCAAUAAAUUUCUGAAGAAACUUUCUGAAUUCAGCCUUCAAGAUAAUAGAUAGGCUGUUCUGACUGUGGAUAAAUAAACUCUGUUUUUAUAAGCGUUUAAAGACCUUCAGGAUGACGAAGUGGAACAUACUUCAAGUCUCCAAAGAUGGGAAGUGGCUUCUGAGUCAAAUGCCCUCCCGUGCCAGGGCUCGUAUUUUAGACUGAGAUCAGUCUUUUGUGACUUGUUGACAGGUUUUUUGUUGUACUUUGAAGAAAAAAAGGGAAAACGUCCCAGGCUGAAAAUAGCAGUGAAACAUUCCCCAACUGACCAACCUGUUCCUCAAGAAAACUUCCCAGGGAAAAUAAACCUCCAGCUGCACCCCCAAAACCGCCGCCUAAGAAAAGGCACACUGAGCAAUGAUUAGGGUAAAAAACCCUAUUUUGGGUUACCACAGCCCUUGCCUGUGGUAAUUGCUCCUCUCUUAUCUUGUGGUGAAGGUCAGCACCUGCAGAAGGAAGAUUUGGUUCCCACCAGAAAGUGCUUAGAGGGUGGACUCUCAAGGUGGGAAAUUUGGGAGCAACUCCCUCCCUUUUUACUUCCCCCUCCUGUGAAGAACAACCCCCUCCCCUUGCGAUUCCUGCUCUCCCUGGCAGCAGCUACAGCCAGCCUAAAGAGAGGAGGUGAAAAGGCUGGAUCAGAGCUCAUGGCUUUCUGGAAAAUCAGGGCAGGUCUCUGCAUUUGUGCAAGGCCAGGGCUUAACUCUGCAAGUGAAACCAAACAGAUGCAAGCCAGAGCCAUGGGUGGCAAGCAGUGCAGAAGCCUUAGCACUGACCUUUGUUUGCUUUGCCCUCCUAUGUAUCCACAGGCUGAUGGGAACUGUUGGAGGUGUUGGACAGAGGCCAGCAGGAUAUGCUUUAUUGGGACUGAAUAUAAAGUCACAUUUCUGGAGGAAAAAAGAGGUAUGUCACAUAUACAGGGUGAAGCCUAGACCAGGCUGAUGGGCUCUGAAUGUAUGUGGGCCCCUGUAGUGGAAAGUGGCCAAAGGAUGGUCCUGGCACAAGGGUGGGAUGCUGGAGCAACGUGCCUUGGGAUCCAACAGCAGUUCAAUGGCCAAGUCACUGAGGUUCAGAGGCACGAGCACAUUUCAAGGGCUGGCUCAAGGAACUCUGUUCCUUUGGUUUCUCAGAGAGAAAAUGAAGGGAGAGUAGGUCAGGGCUUGUGAAGUACAAAGGUGAUGGAAAUGGGGGAGUAACGGGAUUUAGGAGGCACAGUCUUAUAAGAUGGCUGGAAAUGGGCACCCAAUUAAUUCAGCAUUUAUUACUUGAAAGUCAUUAAUCGGGGAACUAACUUAGCAAGGCUGGUAAUGAUCCUCCUCUUCUGAGAAUGUUUUGAUCAAGACUGAUCCCUCCCUGCCAAAGAAGAUGCUCUAAUUGCUGUGAAAAUGAGUUCAGGUCUGAGUUGCCCCAGGGAUGAGCCUGGAUGGCUGCAGCAACCCACCCUCUGCCUUCAAGGCUGGAUUAGGGGAAGGCAGGUUGUCCUUGCCAAGGAGCCAAGGGGGAGCAGUGGAGGAUCUGGAGAAGGUGCUGAGGCUUUGACUUGUGCAGAUUUCCCAGGAGCAGGCAGACACGGCAGCAUCCCUCCGGCUCAGCACAGGGGCCAGCCUGCACCUCUGCUGCUGCCUCAGCAGCCCCUCUUGGGCUUUGACUGCUGGGUGGAUGGGGGGAGAAAAGGAGAGGGUUUUGCUAUCAGGGGAAAAACCUUAAUCUGCUUGCAGUGAACCAGCUCACACCCUGGCUGGCUGCAGGGAACGUGUUCUCCUGCUGCCAGAGACACCACAGUUGCUACAGCAACUGCAAAGCACUGAGACUCACCAACACUCUCACUCUGCCACCUUCCAACCCCCCAAAAUAAGGCAGAGCAGAGAAAGUGAUGGUGAGGAGGCAAAAUAAAUGGUAGGGGUGUCCCUCAGCAGCCAUGGCUGCUCUAUGUUCUGUUCCCAUCCCUCCACAGCAAGUGCUCAGGCACUGCUGCGUUCCCAUCAGUCCUGACAAGCACUUGGUUUCCAGGUCAAUAUGAUUCCAUUCACUAGACCUGCAUCCCAGGGAUGGCUCAGCAGAGCAUGCACUCAUCCCAGCCUGCCAUCCACCCCAGGCACCCACCCUGUGGGGUCUGUGGGAGGCAAGGCUGGGUCAGACCCUCGGCGCUCGUUCAGUCGCUGGGGCCGGUGCAGGAGCUGUUGGGAUGGGGAUGCACUGCUGGGGAUGCACUGCUGGGGGUGCUGCAGGGAGCACCACAGCAAGGGGAGGAUAAAGCCGAGCUGAGCUUUGCCAGCCUGCCAUCUCAUUACUCUUUAAAUGGGGCUCUGUGUGGUUCCCAGCACUGUGCCAUCCUGCCUCCAUAAAAGCUCAUGGUUUCCCCUGGUGCCGCUCUCUUAAAUAUUUAAUGACAGGAGGAAGAGCUGUUUUAAGAAACACUUCAGUGCUUGCAUCUGAACAGGAGGUUGUUUCAGGUGGCCAGAGCAGACAAGAAAACUCUUUAGCUGUUAAUUUUUCAGGAUCUUUCAGCUGUUGAAGGAGUGGCAGCAUGAUGACGCAGGCCAGGGGGCAAAGGAGAGAUCUUUAAGGUGUCUGGAGAGAGUAAAGACUCCUGGGGUCUGUUCUUGAUCCUUUUCCUGACUUACAUGUCAGUGUGGCUUGAUUUCUUAUAUUGAAACACUUGAACAAGGCUAGUUUUGGAGCUUUAGUGAAAAAUUCUUGAAGUUCACCUGCCCCUGAUCUUAGCCGGGCACUCUGUCCUCCCCACCUGCCUCUGGAUGGGUCAGUUUUGCUGAGUGCCAAGGAUAUUUGAAGGUAACCACUUGCCAGAGACUUCCUAAGGAUUUAUUUGGGUUCAUGAAGCGAUUUGAAAAGCCUGGAUAAAAGGCUGUGGAAGGAAAUGUGCUUUAAUCCCAGCCAAAUCAUAAAUUAGGCCACCAUUAACACAAAUGACUGCUUGAGAUGAGGCUCAUGUGAGAGGGGAGGGCUGUGCUUCUCCUUCACUGGCAGUCCUGUGUCCCAGUGCAUCCAGUCCUACAGGGACCAGCUCAGUUAUUGCUGACACUCAGGUGUCAGAGUAUGGGGCACCAACAGAGCUAAUGGAAGUGUUGCCACAGCCCAUAUUAUCUUAUUUUCCUGAUAAAACUCCUUUCCCCACAGGGCAGCUGGUGUCAGGCUGAAAUCAGUGGCCUUAGGCACCAUUUCCAGAAGGGGUUGAGCACAAGCACUGUUUAAACCAGUAAGAUGUCCCAGGCACAGCAUAUGUGGUGUCUGUGCCACACUGGUUCUUAAUGGGAAUUGUGAACUCCACACCAAAGCUUUUUGCCAAUCCCAGCCCCUUCCCAUGCAGCUGUGGUGCAGUUAGGUUUUCAUUUGAAUUAGCAAAAACAAGGGUGUCAGUCAUUUCUCUGCACUGACUUUGUGAAAGGGCAGGUCAAUAAUUUAUAUCCUUAAUAUUUGAGGGCAGCAUUUGUGGAACCUUCUGUUGCUGCGACUCAGGGUAAGAAGGAACCUUCCAAGAGAGACAGCCUGGCUGCAGUGAGCCCCUGGAAGGUGCAUGGAGCACACCAAGAGGUGUUUGCAUUAGUGGUUUUGAUGGGGAUAAGAUUUCUUAAUUAGCAAGACCUUCUGAAAAGAUCCUGGUGCAAAACUACAGCUAAAAUCAAUCAGCAGACACGGAUGAGUGGAUUUCUGCUCAUCUAAAGGCAGGAAAAGAAAUAGUGCAAGAUCUGCUUGGUGCUCCAGAGGGGAGGAUUUCACUGCUGCUGAAUGAAGCUUGCAGGAUCUCUGCAUCCUGGGAAAGGUGGCUGGAGCAAGCAAUCUGGCCAAAGGGAAGCUGGGGGGUGCAGGGCAGCCCUUUUCUUUUCUUUUCUUUUCUUUUUUUUUUGAGGGUCAUUAAUUAUCUCCCAUCAGCAAAGCACUUUGAAGGUGAGAUGUGCUACAUGAGUGCUAAGGAUUACAGGGUUUGUGUCUCUUGCCUCCAGGUCCCUGGGUUAGAGGGACUGGAGCUGAAGGCAAGGCUGGGAGCUCCACACUCUGCCUGCUGCUCUGCCUCUGCAGCACAGCCAGCCCUUUCCUAAAGGUUUGGAAAGGGUUUAUGUGCAAACUCUUUCCAAAACCCCCAAAUCACGCUGCCAGCCAGGGCUUUAGCCCUGCUCAGAGGGCACAGAACCUGGCAGGAUGGGGCCCUGUUUGUCUCUUUAUCCCUCCCCAGCUCUGCUUGAGCAAUAACCUACUUUCUUGCUCUGCAGAAGGAACAUCUUGGAUUACGUUGCUGCAAAUGAGAGGUUUCAGUCAUGGUAUCAGAUGAGCUGCAGGUAAGCAGUGGGUUUAGUGUCAGCUCUUUUGGCAGCUUCUUUAUUCUCUCUCUGCUUUGCACAAACAAACCACCUUUGUGUGGAAAUUCAUUUUCCUUUUCAGCCGCAGCCUUUGUCAACAGGGCUUCCCAAUAAUCCUCUCUGUGCAGAUAAAGGUGAGCCAGCAGCCAAAUGGGAGCCCUCACCUCAAGCCUGCUGCCCACUCUGGUUCAUUAAAGAACUUUCCUCUCUAUUGCAGGCUGUGGGUUGUGCUCACAUGAUGGAUCCUAAAUCCCAAGGUGACACUCAGUUACCCUAACUCCAUCCUAAUCAGCCCCAUGCAAUUAAGGUGCAAGGGAUCAAAACCCCAAAUGGUGUGGGAUAACGUAGUGCCUUUUUGACCUCAUUAGGCAAUUCAGGGCAUUAUCCACCAAACUCCAGUCCAGGAUACAGGGAGAGAAAGAAAAAUUUUAAUUCACUUGGGCUGCCUCUGUCCUUUACCCAUUCAUUCUCUUUGGCCUCACAGGGCUCUCAGACCAAUAUAUCUAAACACUAUAUCACUUUAUAUUAAAACCAUUUAACACAAAGCCUGUCAUGGGCCAGGCUGUGGGUUGCCAGGACAGGACCCUGCCAAGGAUUCGCACUGCCCCAGUUUAAGUACGGAAGGCAGGAGAAGGGGCUGACUGUGCCAGGGAAGCAGCACCUACCUCCACAGCCCCAUGCCUGACUUUCCCUGCUGACUUGGAGGACUUUAACUUGCAGCCUCCUUAACUGCUUCAUUUCUGCGAAGUUGCACAAUCCCACCCCCAGCAACAUCACGAACGUCUCCAGCAACACGAAGGCGGGUGAGCUGAAAUGCCCUUGCUGCCGAGCUAAAUAGCAUCAGGGCUCAUUCUACUGCUUAGAAAUCUUUAAGGAAUCAAGCAGGUCGAUGAAUAAUCCAAUUUAAAAAUCAUAACAGAGGUGCUGGGUAACUGUAUACAACGCUGGCCUAAAUUCAUACAUCAAGUGACAAGCCGUAAUGAAAAAUUAAAGGACCCUGCAUGGUACAAGUUGGUGCUGUACUGUUUGAAUCCUGGGAAACAGCGACUUCACACAGGAGCAGCUCUGCCCCUGUCCCUUUUUCCUGCGCAGAAAUGCUGCAGGGAUACAGACAACUUGCGCAGGCAUCAGGGUUUUUUUUCACCAGCUUGUGGCUUUUAAACCUCAGCAGUGCUAAAACGUGACGUGGACUCGCAGAGGACACGUGCAGCCCGUGGGGUGAACUGCAGCCUGAACAGUUCCCCAGGCAGCUGGGGCUCCGUGUCCUUCUAGUAAUAAAUUCCUCCUGGACAGUGUUUCAGGGGAUUGCUAGGAUUUGAGCAGAGAGGAGGAUGGCUGGAAGUGAGACAGGCUCCAGGUUUAUCCUUGAAAGCCCCUGUGCUGCAGAGCCUGGGGCUGCCUUUGGCAGCCUGCCUGGAGGAAGAUGUUGGAGGCUGAAGGCUGCCUUGUGCUGUAUGAACCACCAAUCCUCUCACCAGCCAGCUAAGUUGGAGAUAAAUCUCCCUAUUAGCAAUGCAUAAAGCAGGCCAAAAUCUGAACAGCUCCUUAGGCAGGAGGUGAAGCAAAAACUCAAAAUAACUUAAAAUAAGUCCUUUCUGUGCUCCUGGCUGGAAAGUGGCUGUGUUGGAGCUUUCCCAUAGCUUGCCUGGCCCUUCUGACAGGAGAGCAGGGUGCUAAGGCUGUGCUGUGCUUGUCAACACGACGGAUGCAAAGAAUCAGGUAAAAAAUAACCCCAUCCCAACGUCAGCAGCAGAGCUGAGAGGAACCAGAAGUCCUGAGCCGUUUCGAAGUUGUGUUAAAUAAUAAAGCAGAGAAAUGAAUAAAUUAGCUCAGCAUCUAUUUAGGUCAGCCCUCUCCGUUUCUCCCAGCCGCCUCCGUGUGCCUCCUCCCCGCAGCGAUCAGCUGCUCCGUACACGCUGUGCCUGCGGAUCCGCUCCCUCCUUCCCAACAGCCGGGCUCUCGGGAAGCGCGGGUUGAGCAGGUGUCACGUCGGCUGCACACGUUCACCCCAGCCUUCAGAAGCAGCAGGCGAGCUUCCUUUUCCAUCACUGGGGCAAAAAGUGUUCUGGAAAAUCCCAUUAAAGCAAGAGGCGUGGGCUGAGCGCACACGGCUGCUCCCUUCCUGGCGUUAUCCCCUCCAUGCAGCCCUGCCAGGAGCCACAGGGUCCUGCUCAGUGGGCUUGCAGCUGCCCCGGAGCCGUGUCUCCAUGCUCUGCCUGCUCAUCUGCAGUCAGCCUGCUUGUCAUCCAGCUAUUUUCCAUUCCCAGCUUCCAACCACGGCAGCACCUCCAUCUUUGCAGACCAUCCUUCCCCACAUUGCAGGUGCCCCAGGCUCAGUUUUGUGAUUGUAGUUGACAUUUGUUGAUUUGGGGAUAUCCAGCCAGAUGGACCAGGCUGACUGACAGAGAUGGGGAAUCAGUUUUAAACCCCUAAGCUCUCCUCAAAUCACUCAAAUGCUUCCAGGAAAAUGCAUCUACCAUUCAGUCCUGUCUAUGUCUUUAUUUAUACCUUUCCCAAGCCCAAAAAGCCCUCUUUGAUGUCCAGAGCAUCUCAUGGGUUUCAGCUAUAAGCAAGCUGGAGAAACACUCACCAAGAUGGAAUUUAUCUGCAUCAAGGGCUGCUCCAUCUCAGCCCAACUACUGCUGGUCCUCCCAAACCCCGCAGGUAGCUGGAGAAGGCCGCCAGUGAUGAACCCAGCCAGCAGCAUCAUCCAGGAUGUAGGCAAUGGAAAAUGAGAUGUUACUAAGUUUGGCCAGGCUGAGCUGGCUCCUCGCGGGUCCCAGCCUGUGAGUCACCGGUACGUGGGCCACCAGCACGGCCUCCCCUCUGGAGGAAGGAGUGGAGGUGGAAAAAUAACAAGAGGAAACCAGCUGUUAGUAGUGCCAGCUCUGGGGAGAGUGGGAGGAGGUGGCAGGCCUGGAGAGAAAGGUCAGGGCCGCAUUUCAGGCUGCUUCCUGAUUUUUCCUCCUGCCUUCAUGGUAGGAAGCUGCUUACAGGAAUACGCUUGUGGACCAUGUGUGGAGGGUCUGGGCUGAUCUGAGGGAUGGGCUCUGUGGGGGAAUGACAACCUCCAAGGGCAGCCAGUAGUGAUGGAGCAUUUGUUUCUGGUCCCUGCUCACCCAUCUCUUCUGGUUGCUCCUCUGACUUCUACUGAGUUAAGCUUGAUUAUCCUGUUGAAAGCAACUUUUAGCCCAGUGCAAACAUUGUAAAAGAAGAUGCACUUUGCAGAUGUACUUGGAACAGACACAUCCACCUCCCCACUGUGGAGACUCCCACACCAGUGCAGGGUGUUUGUUGCCCAGUCCCUGCCCCCUCCUGGCGCUGAUGUCCAUCUGCAGCUAAGCCAGAGACUCUCGCUCACACUGUUGUGCUGAUCCUUGGUGACAGUACUGACAGGGGGAGACCCAGACAUGGAUCAGGAGCCAGUGGCUCUGUUCCUUGUCCAAAGCCAAUGCAAUGAAAAUAUUAUUGGGGGAAACACUCACUAAAGGAUUGCAGGUCUCCAAUCUCUUCUCGUGCCUCAGCUCUGUAACUGGUGCUGACUGCAGUGCACCAGUGGGGGACACAAGCCUCAGCUACUGUCCCCAUGUCCCUGCCAUCAGUCCAGGAGCACAUGCAGGGCUGUGCCACGCCAGCUCCCCAUUCCACAAGGAUAUGUGUGGCUGUGGAUCAGCACUUCUGCUACCCUUUGCCUUGCAAGAACUCCUUCUCUCUUGAACCCUCCAGUCUGACAGUUGCCACCGGUUCCCACUGUUUUUUCUCACCUCCAAUUGCAAAUGCACAGAGCCAGAUUGUCUCCCUGGCACUUUCUGUAAGUGAAAAGUAUUUCUUCAUGUCUUCAAGGAAAUUGUAACAGCUGCCAGGGAAAAAAAAGGCACAGCCAGGUAGGAUGCCAGGUCAAGGGGGAAACUGCUGUGUGAUUCUCUCUAGUUAUUGCCUGGAGAUGUCCCUUCUCCAUGACUGGGACUAGUCCUCUCACUUUGAGCCAGGAGCGGGAUCUGUUAUGCUCAGGCUCCCUCUAGUGCCUCCAUGUCCCGUUGUUCCUGGCUUCUCUGGAGGCGUGUUGGUCCAUUUGUCCCUGGGGACUGUCAGUCAUCCUCACUCCCCUCCAUCACACCUCGGGCUUGCUGCACAGCGAAGCCCUGUUUGCCCACAAGCUGGGAACAGCCCACAAACUGCCCCAAAGCCAUCACAGCCUGCCAGGGACCUCUUGGGGACCUGCCAAACAGCCCAGCCCUGCCUCUGCCUGCUGAGGCAAAAGGAGGAUGAUGGAGGUGGCCAUAUCCCACAGGAUGCUCUCCUUGACAAGGCACAACUCUGCACACAGCAGCUCCACCUCGAUUGUGUCUCCAGGGAGCAAGGCAGGAUGAGUGAUGGGUGGCAAGUGCCUGAGCUGCCCUGGGAGCAGCCCAGGCUGGGAGUGGGCACCUUCGCAGUGAGCCAGCUGGGGUGGCCAAAACCAUCACUGCACUCUCCCCACUGCUUGAUACCUCUCCCCAGGGGAGCAGCUUUUAGGGGUGUCCCACAGUCCAUGCCAAGCAAAGUCAGCUGAGCUCCAAAUCAACACCUGAAACUGUUUAUCACUUAUUUUGUCUGGUGUGGAGGACACUGAAUAGCAGAGGCCGCCUGUGUACUGGGGCACUGCAGAGCUACACUGCUACUCUCUGUCCAACAUGAACACAGCCUUUCCUUGUCUUCUUCCUUUGGAAAUGGGGAGGAAAUUUCUUAAUGUCUUGGGAAAUGACUGCCCUCAAUCUCCAUUCAAGCCCUACUUGUAAAACUCAUCCUGGCUCAGCUCUGGCAUCAGCACCACCCUGGGCCAUGGACAGCCCCGCAAGCACCCCUGUUCCAGAGAGCACCGUGCAGAGCUGGGGGCAGCCUUAUCUUCUCACAUAACAAGGAGAUGUUCUUUGGAAUCAUCACCAAUCAAGGUAGGUCCUGUAACUGCAGAUACAACAGCACACUUGGCCAGGCACCCUGGCAGGGCUGGUGCUGCACUGGGUGAACAGAUACACUGAGCACGGGGGAGUGUGGGGUCCCACAGCUGUUUCUCAGUUCCAGAGGGUCAGCAGCAGGACACUUUUGCUGCCAGCUGCUGGGAAAGGCCUCCUGAGUGGCUUCCCCAUCUUGUGCCCAGCCAUCACUGGCCUGUGAGCAAGCAGUGCCCAAGGCAGGUACCUAAGGCACCUCUUGCUUUGUUCACCUCUCAGCAUUGGCUGUGGCAGCUGCCUGAGCCCUGAGACAUUUUGGGAGAAGUUUCUCACAUGUGACAUCUUCCUUAAAUGUAUCAGAAUAUAUAAUAUCAGAACACCUACAUAAUAUUGCAUCAGGUGUCAACAAACCCCAGUCCAUAUCCUUUUGGGGUGGGUCACAGUGGUCCCCCAGAAAUUAGUGAUGUUUUCCUGGUUUAUACCUGCAGAGUGCUUGGCCUGGGCACCGAGCUCUCUGAGUCCCUGGCAUUACUAAAUGGGAACAGCUGUGGUAAUUCAUUACCCCAAGACAAAUGUCAGCUCACAGGGAGGGAAGAAGCAAGGUUAGGGGAGUCUGCUGAAAUGUGGUGUCAGCAUGAAAACUGUGACAAACCCAACAGAGAUCCCUCAGCAUAAAUGUGUGUGAUGCAAGGACAGUGACUGAGAUAACACGGUCCUCAAAGGCACUGUGAGAUUUUUAUGUUAACCUAUGAUUUUUUUCAUAAUUGUUUUGCUGCUGGAGUACUUACAAUCCUAUUUAAUGAGCACAGCUCCUUUAAUAGAGGACACUUGGGGUAACAUGCGCUAAUUAAGUCUGUAAUAACUAAAAGUAUGAUUAAAGGUUUUGAACUGGCCAAUCAUUCCCAGCAGUGCCAUAAUUAGAGAUGUGGCAGCUCAUCAGAGCACAAAUUCAAGGGGGCUUGAUCGCCCAAUGGUACACACAGGUCUUGAUCCUGUCUUGGAUCAUCCUUUUUACUUGAUAUUCUGCAUUGGUUUGCAGUGAUUUAUAAACCACCCUGAAUAUGUUACACUCAGCCCUGUAAACUGAACAAUCUUCCAUAGUUUUAUUUUAAUAGUUUGUCUUACAGGUCUUGUAUUUCACCUGGGCAUUAAGCACAGCUUCUCUUAUCCCCACCUGUCUGAGUGCUCAUCCCAUGUGGUCCCACUAGCAGCUGAGAAAGACUCCCAGGGAGCUCCAACAACAGCAAUUGCAGCAGGAUACUGAAAGAACUUGGAAAAAGUAUCUGAACCUGAGGCAGAGAAGCAAUUGCUCUGCAAGCAAUCAUUGAAUGACUGAAAAAAGUGUCCAGGUCUCUCUCCCAUGUACUCGUCCUGGGGCUUUUGGUCUCUGGGCCAUCUUUUCCAGUCUGGGUUACUUUAGACAAUUCACUUGUGCCUCUCAUUGUAAAAUAAAAGCAAUGCCAUAAAAAUAUGUCCUAUUGCUGGUUACCUGGAGAAGAGC